CAGGGAGACAACAAAAUGUUUAAUAUUAUUAUUUUGUCACCUUAGGUCGAUCGGUAUCUCACGUUCUUAAUUUGUUAAGAAUUUCAUUUCCUAAGUUUUUCUAGGUCACACCCAUUAUUUUUCCUGGGCCAUUAGCUCAGGUGGUUAGAGCGCACCCCUGAUAAGGGUGAGGUCCCUGGUUCAAGUCCAGGAUGGCCCAUAUCUCUAUGUUGGGGGUAUAGCUCAGUUGGUAGAGCGCCUGCUUUGCAAGCAGGAUGUCAGCGGUUCGAGUCCGCUUACCUCCACUGAUUACCACCUCUUCCAUAACCGGUAGAAAGGAAAUGUUUUGUGUUGUGAUCAUUAUUCUGAACGAAUCUAGCUUCCUAAUGAAAUCAUUAAGAUGCUGGACUCAUUGAAUUAAUUCCAUUGUUUUCAGAGAACCUUGACAACUGCAUAGAUUUUUUAAAGACAAUAAGCAUCUUAAAUGAUGCAGAUUUAUUAUUUGUGCGAAUGCAUUAAUAACAAUUCUAUUAAGCUGAUGCUUCAAUUUUUGAAGUUAUU
rnacentral:tRNA from 1 species